GCGGUGAUGCCGGAAGACAGAAAGCAAGAAUGGCCGCACUGCUCCCCAGGAGAGGUUCUGUCCCACUGGCAGGAGAGGACCGUGUCGCUCCUCUGCCAGACCGGCCGCGGCCCUCGGGCUGAGAGUGACCGGCACUGCUGCCCCCGGUAUCGGCUCGGUGGGCCUUCCGCGGCCCGGAGGAACACGAUGGGCCGUGCCGGUUCCCGCCCGGAGCGGUAGCGCUGAGCACCGGGCACCGCCGGAGCGUUUAUGGGAGCACCGGAAGCCGCCACAGCCGGCGGGUCCGGCCCGGUCCCGGAGGGCAGAGCGGCCCCUCCUGCUCCGGACUGUGCGGACAUUCUCCGCUCCCCUCGCCCUCCGGCAGGGCGGUUUGGCUGCCGGAGCCGCCUUUCUCUCCCGGCGCAGCAGCACCGGGAUCUGCGGAGUCAAUUGCCCACGUUCCCCCGGGCAUUGAGAAAACAAAUAUGUUUCCUCUCAUACAACGAUGCUGCUUCAACACACCUUUCAAACUGCAGGAGCUCCGCGGUGCCGGCGUGCUGCUCCGUGGGAGGAGCAGGACUGGCUGCUCUUCCCUGGCCCCGCUGCAGCUCUGGGGAGAUGCACAUCCUCUGUCACCAUCUCUGAGCCUCAAGCCACCAGCAGCUCACACAGCCCAGCUCCGGGCGUUCCACGCCUCUCUGCCCGUCUCCCAGAGGAAAAGCCCUGCAGCCCCUGAGGCACAGUCACGAGGAAGCGCGGGAUCUCUGAAGGACUGUCCCAAGCCAGCCCUGUACUUGAGCCUGGGGGGGCUGGUUCCCUUUGUGGCCGUGCCUCUGGCCAUGGCUCUGCAGGGCUCCUACAGCCCAGGGCUGGCCCUGGCUCAGGUGGCCUAUGGUGCUGCCACUGCCUCCUUCCUGGGGGGAAUGAGGUGGGGGUUUGCUCUCCCGGAGAACAGCCCGGCCAAGCCAGACUGGCUGAACCUGGCUAACGGCACAGUCCCUGCUCUGCUGGCCUGCCAAGCCUUGCUUCUCAAAGAUGCCACUCAGGGAGCCCUGAUGCUCACGGUGGCCUUGGGGAUAGCCCUGCAUUAUGACAUUUCCCUGCUUCCUACUUACCCCAGGUGGUUCAAGGUACUGAGGGCAUGGGGGACAGUGGUGAUGAUAGCAUCCCUCUUGGCCACUGUGGCACUGAAAGCUGUCUUAGAAGGGGAGCAAAGUGAUGACAGAAAAAUACAGCAGAACACAAAGUAAUAAAUCUGUAAGGAAAAGCUAUUAUCUGCUAAUAAGGUAUUUGUAUGGAGUUCCAGGAGAAAUAAAGACUGAUUUGUGCUUAGAAGUCUUAUGAUGGCAGGGAUCAAGAUGCUUAUUCUUGAAGCAAAAUUAUUAUCCAACUGAUUUUGAAGCUAGUUCAGGAGGGAAGUAUUGUAAAUAGCAAUUACUUCCAAGGCAAGCACGAGUCUGUCCUUAUCUGUAGAACAGAACCACUCCUGAAUGAGAUGUUGCUACUCUAGGAAUUUAGAAUGGAGAUUCAAAAUGACAUGGGUGUGAAUUAGUCUGUGCUGAACUAUGAAAGCAUCUGGUUUGACUAAUGUGUGAUCAUGUUCUGAGGUGGGGAAAAAAACAGUAACAAAGUGAAAGCAGUUCUAGUUUGGUGUUUAAAUAAGUAACAGAGAAUUAUGCAGAAGCACAUACUACUCAGUUGCUGUGUUGUGGAGGAACAAGACUCCUGUUCACUCCUAUUUUCAGAGGAGGUGCUGAAAAUCACAGAAUGGUUUGGGCCAGAAGAGGCCUUAAAGAUUGUCUCAUUCCCAUCCCCUGCUGUACACAGGGACACCUUCCAGGAGAUCAGGUUGCUCAAAGCCCCAUCCAGCCUGGACACUUCCAGGGGUGCUGUGUGAGGAAGUCUCAGUGUGGUGUCAGACAUGGCAUCUUUUAAGAUGGGUCCAGAGAAGAGUCCUGUCUUUGUCUUGAUUAGGUAAAAGAGGUGCUGAGGAUCAGAGACCAUAAUCAACCAGCUUCAAAGUUUUAUUCAGACAUGACAGAAUCAGUUACAAAGCCUGCAGAAGGUAACUUCAGACAACUGCAGAUCCCUCAAACUCCAUUAAACCAGGAAGUUUACAGGUAGGGGUCAGAGGUAAACCUGUAGUUCUCAAACUAAUAAAAAUACAGCUAAGGUAGUGUUUCUCAAACAGUUCCAAGAGGGAUCCUGAAAUAUAAAGAAGAAAGACUAAGAAACAUUACCAGUAAUUUCAUCCCACAGAGGGCUGAGUAGAGCUGGCACGACAGUCAGACUCCCAAAAAGUCUGAGUGAUUUUACACUGAGAGGAGAAAUACAUGUGUAUUUUACUGCAGAAGCAUGUUACUUCCACCACUCAAACAGUCAAAAUUUAUAACCAAUCUUUCCCUAGUGUUCUACUGGGAAAUACGAUUCCCAAUAAAAAGAAAAAAUGACCUAUUAUAUGAAAGUGGCAGUAAUACAGCUUACUAAGUUAUGAAAGCAACCUGUUCAAGAGCAUUCCAGUCAGUUCUGAAAAUACAUUUUAUUAUGAAAAACAGUUUAAACAAGCUUAUAUUUGAAAAAAAAAUCAAACCAUUAAUUCAGACACAUAAGAAAUGCUUUGAAGUAAAAGCACACACAAGAUUAUGGAACAAUCAGAGAGACUCUCCAUCAUCUAGUAUGUUUUAGCCCAACUCUAUGUUAGAUUUCAGGACCUCAACUAUUAAGGUAUCUGCAACACUCACCUUGGAGGAUUUCUCAUGUAAUAAUUUGUUAAUUUUACACAGGGGAUAUUGACCUAAACAGCAUGAAUGCUCCUUUGUCUACACAGUGCCAGGCUUCCUGUUUUGUGACAUUCCAGUUGUGGUUUGGUGAUCCAGAAUAACACUGCCUAUCAAAAUUCAAGCAGCCUCACUUCAGACUCCAUCCAAAUCAUCCACAGCUGUGCUGAAAAUGCAGCCACAGUGUGCAAAAAGCAACUUCAAACACGUUAAUUAAAUGAAUCUAGAAAUAACCCCAAACUCUUUGUAGUAUUGUUUUACUAAGUGUGUCUGAGCUAAAUACAAACUCCGUAAGAGCACCAUAUCUUUCUUCAAUGCUAAAUGUAGCUGAUUCUAUCAUAGAAAGCUCCAUUGGCUCAAAUUUAGAGGAGGCAGGAUACAAGAUGUAGUGAAGGUGAAGGGGUGUGUCUUGUAGAACAGCAAGUAUUCAAUGCCAAGUCUCAGCAUGUGUCACACAGGGUAAAAACACAUUUGACUAUGGGGAAAAAAAUCUGGGGGCAAGAGCCUUUCCCUGUGUUUUUAUAUAAGAAUAGUCCUAAACAGAACAUCCAAUCUAAUGAAUAGCAUUUGCAUUUAAAAUUCACCAGAGCUGACUUACAAAGGAGCUCUACUGGCAUCACUGACACCACUGAGAAGAAAAGCCACUGCUGAAGGGGAAUGGCAUUAUUAGAACUGUGAGGACAACCUUCCAGAACAGGAAAUUCUCAUCAACUCACCAUUCAAAUUUGUGAAGUGGCCAGAAAGUAAAGAUCCAAUUCAAUAUUUAAUGCCCACCAUGUCCAAGCUUAAAUGCAUCAAGGUCAUAAGUAGAGGCAUCAAUUUUAUCCUGUGUGUUAUCUUCUCUUUU